UCCAGGUCACAUCGCGUAGCUACGGGUUACCACCUUCCAUUAUGAAAAAUAUAGAAAUGGGGGAGAGAGCUGGAUGACCUCUACUUCAGACUCAAAUAUAGAUAGAUCAACAUGUUUCUAAGCGCUUUUUUGGUGCUUAUAGGGAUACUAAUUUUGAUUUUUUUUUUUCUAACCGAUAGCCGACCCUCAUUA